CACAUGCAAGUCGAGCGGGGAAAAGUAGCUUGCUACUUAACUUAGCGGCGGACGGGUGAGUAAUACUUAGGAAUCUGCCUAUUAGUGGGGGACAACAUUUCGAAAGGAAUGCUAAUACCGCAUACGUCCUACGGGAGAAAGCAGGGGAUCACUUGUGACCUUGCGCUAAUAGAUGAGCCUAGGUCGGAUUAGCUAGUUGGUGGGGGUAAAGGCCUAACAAGGCGGACGAUCUGUAGCGGGUUCUGAGAGGAUGAUCCGCCACACUGGGACUGAGACACGGCCCAGACUCCUACGGGAGGCAGCAGUGGGGAAUAUUGGACAAUGGGGGGAACCCUGAUCCAGCCAUGCCCGCGUGUGUGAAGAAGGCCUUUUGGUUGUAAAGCACUUUAAGCGAGGAGGAGGCUACUCUAGUUAAUACCUAGGGAUAGUGGACGUUACUCGCAGAAUAAGCACCGGCUAACUCUGUGCCAGCAGCCGCGGUAAUACAGAGGGUGCGAGCGUUAAUCGGAUUUACUGGGCGUAAAGCGUGCGUAGGUGGCCAAUUAAGUCAAAUGUGAAAUCCCCGAGCUUAACUUGGGAAUUGCAUUCGAUACUGGUUGGCUAGAGUAUGGGAGAGGAUGGUAGAAUUCCAGGUGUAGCGGUGAAAUGCGUAGAGAUCUGGAGGAAUACCGAUGGCGAAGGCAGCCAUCUGGCCUAAUACUGACACUGAGGUACGAAAGCAUGGGGAGCAAACAGGAUUAGAUACCCUGGUAGUCCAUGCCGUAAACGAUGUCUACUAGCCGUUGGGGUCUUUGAGACUUUAGUGGCGCAGCUAACGCGAUAAGUAGACCGCCUGGGGAGUACGGUCGC
rnacentral:rRNA from 1 species